GUACUUACCAGGCAGGGAGAUACCAUGAUCACAAAGGUGGUUUUCCCAGGACAAGUCUUAUCCAUUGCACUCUGGAUGUACUGACUCCUGUGAUUUCCCCAAAUGUGGGAAACUCGACCGCAUAAUUUGUGUUAGUGUGGUACUGUGUUCGAGCUCUCCCUUG